rnacentral:rRNA from 1 species
CCUACGGGUGGCAGCAGUGAGGAAUAUUGGUCAAUGGCCGUAAGGCUGAACCAGCCAAGUCGCGUGAAGGAAGAAGGCUCUCUGGUUUGUAAACUUCUUUUAUAGGGGAAUAAAGGUAUCCACGUGUGGCUAUUUGCAUGUACCCUAUGAAUAAGCAUCGGCUAACUCCGUGCCAGCAGCCGCGGUAAUACGGAGGAUGCGAGCGUUAUCCGGAUUUAUUGGGUUUAAAGGGUGCGUAGGUUGUUUUUUAAGUCAGCGGUGAAAGUUUGUGGCUCAACCAUAAAAUUGCCGUUGAAACUGGAAGACUUGAGUACAGUUGAGGUAGGCGGAAUUCGUGGUGUAGCGGUGAAAUGCUUAGAUAUCACGAAGAACCCCGAUUGCGAAGGCAGCUUACUAAACUGUGACUGACAUUGAUGCUCGAAAGUGUGGGUAUCAAACAGGAUUAGAUACCCGGGUAGUC